CAGGGAUUCCCCUAGUAACGGCGAGUGAAGCGGGAACAGCUCAAAUUUGAAAUCUGGCCCUCGGGUCCGAGUUGUAAUUUGUAGAGGAUGCUUUUGGUGCGGUGCCUUCCGAGUUCCCUGGAACGGGACGCCUUAGAGGGUGAGAGCCCCGUACGGUUGGACGCCUAGCCUCUGUAAAGCUCCUUCGACGAGUCGAGUAGUUUGGGAAUGCUGCUCUAAAUGGGAGGUAUAUUUCUUCUAAAGCUAAAUACUGGCCAGAGACCGAUAGCGCACAAGUAGAGUGAUCGAAAGAUGAAAAGCACUUUGAAAAGAGGGUUAAAUAGCACGUGAAAUUGUUGAAAGGGAAGCGUUUAUCACCAGACUUUUUCUAGGGGGAUCAUCCGGUGUUCUCACCGGUGCACUUCCCCUAGUUGAGGCCAGCAUCGGUUUUCGGAGGGGGAUAAAAGCUUCGGGAAUGUGACUCCCUCGGGAGUGUUAUAGCCCGUUGCAUAAUACCCUUCUGGGGACCGAGGUUCGCGCAUCUGCAAGGAUGCUGGCAUAAUGGUGAUCAACGACCCGUCUUGAAACACGGACCAAGGAGUCGAACAUUUAUGCGAGUGUUUGGGUGUCAAACCCUCACGCGUAAUGAAAGUGAACGGAGGUGAGAGCCCUUACGGGUGCAUCAUCGACCGAUCCUGAUGUCUUCGGAUGGAUUUGAGUAAGAGCAUAACUGUUCGGACCCGAAAGAUGGUGAACUAUGCGUGGAUAGGGUGAAGCCAGGAGAAAUCCUGGUGGAGGCUCGCAGCGGUUCUGACGUGCAAAUCGAUCGUCAAAUCUGCGCAUGGGGGCGAAAGACUAAUCGA
rnacentral:rRNA from 1 species